UGCACUGCCACCAAUUGUACUGCAAAAGAGCAUACAGUUUGACCUGGCUUUUUCCAGUUUCCCACCGGAUCCAGCCAGAUGCCAGAAACAGGUAAAUUGUAAGAGAGUGGACAGAAGAGAAAACAUCUGAUCAACUAAUAAAACAUUGUCAAGUAUGUGCCAACUACUUUGAGACCUCUUAUGAUCUAUAGAACUAGUGCUUAUAGGAUAGUUAUUUAAGAUAAUGUAAUACCAACAAUAGUUGAUCUUAGUCAUUUAAACAAUCUAAAUGACAGGGAAAAUGAAUAAAAGAAUUGAGUGAAGAUGAAAUCAGAACACAUAAAGCAGAAAAUGUUCACAACAUUGAAGAGGAAAAUGCACACACACAUAUACACACACACACACAUGCGCACACACACACACACACACACACACACACACAGAAACCAGUAACAGCAAUGCUCAGAACCCCAGUGCAGAGAAGGGGAUGAAGAACAGAUUAGAACAUUUUACCUCUAAUCUUUGACAAGAAGGAAAACAAAAAAAUACAUAAAGUCUCUAUUUGAAGUUUUGAUUCUCAUGGGAAAGCUAAACAUAAAGUCUUUAUUUGAAAUUUUGAUUCUUAAGGGAAAGCUAAACAUUCCUUCUGGGGUGACGAAACCCCAGAAGGUAAUUUUACUCCUGAUGACUGUCAAGCACUGCUGGAGUGCCAGAUAAAUUCUGGUGAAGAGGUCCGAAGACAGCACUCUGAGACAACAGUGGCUAACACAACACACUGUUCUGUUUGGAAACACAGUAGAAUCAUAUGCUAGAGAUCUGUGAGAGCUGUAUUAGGGAAGAAACUCUAAGAGAAGUGAGAAUUUCACACUUCCUUGUCAUUAUCUCACUGACAAUGUAGUGGACAUAUCAGGGGAAGAGUGCCCACUUGUGUUGGAGAGGUUUGUUUAUGAAUCGCAUAACCUGAGAGAGGAAUCUGUGGGCUUCCUGCCUUAUGAAGCUGAAGCAGAAAUUUUGGCUGUGAAAUUUCACACUACCAUAACUGAGAAAUGGGGACUAAAUAUGGAGUAUUAUUGUCAUGGCCAAGUUUACAUUGUGUACAAUGGAUUCUCUUCCAAAAUGAAAGUUGUUUCUCCUAGACUUUUAGAAAAAUAUCCUCAAGGUAUCUACCCGCCCUGCCUUUCCUGUGCCUUAAAUAUGUGAUUGACAAAAUCAAUGCCUAUUAUGGGUUUAUCUGUUGCAUUAGGAACAACUGCAGAAGUUUCUUCAUUUUUUCCAUCAAUCACAACUGCUUUUAGGAGUUGACAGUGUCAUUUCUGCUCUUUUUCAAAACAGUGGAGAAAAGGGUAAAUUACUAAAGGAAAUCUGGUAUUCCCAUUGAACAGGCAGGCAUGAUGCUUUUGAAAUUUUAGUGGACCUCAUGCUAGCACUUCUUUAUGUUUAAAUGAUAUAAAUGAUGAUGCAAUAUUAGAUGAGAUGACUGAGUAUCCAGCCAAGAAUUUGUCCUCUGUAGUGCAGCAACAGAUUUUGAUUUCGUUGUUACCAUUGUUAUUAAAAAAAGUCCUUUACAUGAACCCUUUGAAGAAAUCUCCAGGGUCACACCUCUGAUAUCGUCUUUGUAGGCAGUAGUUUGACUGCAGUACUACAUUCGUUCAAUGAAGUGAUGGAAGAUAUUGAAGUCUAUCAUUAUUUUUAGUUUGAGGAAGCCACAGAUUUGGUAACCAAACUUGAUAGUCAAAUAAAACUCCCUGGGAAAUUCCAUAGAGCUUAGCAAGGUAACAUGGCACCUCAACUGACCUCUGAGAGUUUUUAUAAAGAAACCCUAAGUGUUCCAACUGUGGAGCACAUUUUUCAGAAACUGAAAGAUAUAUUCUCAGAAGAGUACCUCAAAGAUAUGUUCUCAGAACAGUACCUCAGAACUAUGAUAUGCUUAUUUCUGGUACCUUCAGUCAUAGGACAGCUUAAAUUCAGUACAUCUGAGGAACACCAUGCUGACAAGUACAGAAGUCACUUACUCAGUCCAGACAUGUUCUCAGCUGAGCUUCCUUGUUGAAGAGUCAUAUGGAAACACAGAGUAAAGAUAUAGGACUUCUGUCCCCCAUGUAUGAAGCAUUCCACCUGCCUGACAUCUUUUUUUCCUAAUAUAUAUGGAUCUUUAAAGGACCUGUGUAUUCUUUCUGUGACGAAGAUUGAGAAUAAGUGCUAUGAAAAUCUAUGAAAGUGUCUGAAAGCAUACUUAAACACUUUGAUGGAACAAAGGUUGAGUAACUCAGCUUUACUUAACAAAACUUUUGAUAUAAAACACACCAGACUUAAUUGGGAGUACAUAUAUCAAACUCUAUACAACUAACAGCUUCCUGUGGAUAAUUCAGAAGCCAGUGAAA
rnacentral:lncRNA from 1 species